ensembl:lncRNA
UAAGGAGUUAAUAUCCAAAGCAUAAAAGAAUUCAUACAACUCAAUAGCAAAAGCUCAAACAAUCUUAUUAAAAAAAAAUGGGCAGCAAAAUCGAGUAGACAUUUUCCCAAAGAAAACAAAUAUUCAACAGGUACAUGAAAAGGUGCUCGGUAUCACUAAUCAUCAGAGAAGUAUAAACCAGAACCACAAGGAAAAGUCAUCUUUUAGAGUGGCUGUCAUCAAAAAGACAAGAGGUAAAUGCUGGCAAGGAUGUGGAGAAAAGAGAACCCUUGUGCAUGCUCACACGGAAUUCAGUUGGUGCAGCUACAAUGGAAACAGCAUGGAAGUUCCUCAAAAGUUAAAAAUAGAACUACCAUGUGAUCCAGCAAUUCUACUUCUGGGUGUAUAUUCAAAGGAAAUGAAAACAGGAUCUUCAGCAGAUACCUGAACUCCCAUGUUCGCUGCAGCCUUUUUCUCCAUAGCUGAGACAGGGAAGCAACCUAAGGGUCCAUUACUGGAUGAAUGGAUAAAGCAGAUACAAUAUCUAUAUCUAUAUAUUUAUAUCUGUAAAAUAUAUAGGUAUAUUAGCUAUAAGAUAUAUAGGUAUAUAUAGAAGAUAUAUGGGCUUACCCAGUGGCUCAGUGGUAAAGAAUCCACCUCCCAUGAAGAAACUGCAGGAGAUGGGGGUUCAAUCCCUGAGUGGGGAAGAUCCCCUGGAGGAGGGCAUGGCAACUCACUCCAGUAUUCUUGCCUGGAGAAUCCCCAUGGACAGAGGAGCCAGGCUACAGUCCAUACGGUCACAAAGAGUCAGACACGAUUGAAAUGACUUAGCACGCAUACGUCAGUUACAUCUCAAUAAAGCUGGAUCGGGGGAAAAGAAAAUUCUUGAAGAUACUCAAGACAUUUACAGUCAACCCCAUCCUCCCCCAGACUGCAUGAUAGGAAGUGCUCACUGCAUACCCCAAAGGCAGGCCACCACCACUGCAGCCACAGGCUUGGGCCAGUGGGCAGGGUUUCUCUCAAGCCAGCUGCCCAUCACUCUACCGUAAACUCUUCCUUCUGUCAUCAAGACCCAGCAGUACAGCAGCAAAUUCCUUAUUCCUUUGAGUUGACAGACAUGUUGACCCAUUGUAAGUGUCAGUCAGACCAUUUGCACAGUUGAGAAAUUGGAUAUAGAUACUUUACAGUGUGGGAGAAUUGUCUGUCCUUCAUAUUUUCAUUCAAUCAACCAAAAUGUAUUUACCAAUUUACAGGUCCUUUUCUAAGUCCCAGGAAUAUAGCAGUGAAUUUGAUGGGCAAGGUCAAGGGAUAUGUGCAUGCUUUUUUAAAGAACUGGAGUGUUUGAACUCAUCUUUAUUUAUAUUGUCUACCUGAUGCAAAGAACUGACUCAUUAGAAAAGAUGCUGACACUGGGAAAGAUUGAAGGCAGGAGGACAUGGGGCUGGAAGAGGGUGAGAUGGUUGGAUGGCAUCACUGCCUCGAUGGACAUGAGUCUGAGCAAGCUGCAGGAGCUGCUGAUGGACAGGGAAGCCCGAUGUGCUACAGUCCAUGGGAUUGCAAAGAGUUGGACAUGACUGAAUGACUGAACUGACUGAUGCCCUCAUCACAUAGGUAUUUGCUGAGCAUCUACUACGUCUAUGUAAUGUGGACCACAGGAAGGCAAGGAAGAAUCAGAAACUAAUUCUGUCCUCCCAGAGGAGAGAUCAGACGACCCAGGGGCAGGUGACCUGGGGAAGACUCCAAACAGCUGCCCACCUGCCAGGACAGCCUCAGCCCAAUCCCACAAUGCCAGGGAGCAGUCCUGAACUGGCG